rnacentral:rRNA from 1 species
GACGAACGCUGGCGGUGUGCUUAACACAUGCAAGUCGAACGGUAAGGCCCUUUCGGGGGUACACGAGUGGCGAACGGGUGAGUAACACGUGAGUAACCUGCCCUCAUCUCUGGGAUAACAGUCGGAAACGGUUGCUAAUACUGGAUAUGAGCUUGCAAGGCAUCUUGUGGGUUGGAAAGAUUUUUUUUGGUUGGGGAUGGACUCGCGGCCUAUCAGCUUGUUGGUGAGGUAGUGGCUCACCAAGGCUUCGACGGGUAGCCGGCCUGAGAGGGCGACCGGCCACAUUGGGACUGAGAUACGGCCCAAACUCCUACGGGAGGCAGCAGUGGGGAAUAUUGCACAAUGGACGGAAGUCUGAUGCAGCAACGCCGCGUGCGGGAUGACGGCCUUCGGGUUGUAAAUCGCUUUCAAUUGUGACGAAGCUUUUUUGUGACGGUAGCAGUAGAAGAAGCACCGGCUAACUACGUG